CCACUAUAAAUAUAUUCCACUAUUAAUAAUAGAACAAUUAAAUAAAUACAGCCCAAUUAAAUAAGUACAAUAAAUUCAGCCCAAUUAAAUAAAUACAACCCAACAAAUUAAAAUAAAAUAAAAUAAAUUAAAUACAGCCCAUCUACACUUUUAAACCCUAAAAUACUGCUCAAAUACUCAUCUUCUCUCAUUGGUUCAGCGCCGCCUCUUCUCUUCUCUCUCGUUAGGCGUUUCUUCUCCCAGUCCAAACUCUCCUCUUUCUUCCACAUGCGCCGCUGCCGGCGAGAAGCCACGGUCGCUGAUGCUCUCCAUCCUCUUCUCUCUCCCUCUGCCUCAUCCUCUGCCGGCGAAAAACCUGCAACCAUAUCACUACAAAGCCGCCGUCCAAAAGCCCUACAUCCCUAAACCACCAACUCCGCCCUCACAUCUAGGCACUGACGCUGCUCCACGCCGCUGCCUCCGUCUGCACAGAUACGCCGCCGCCGUCGUCCAAGCCCUAGCCUCCAGAUCUCGGCCUACUUCUCCAUAUUAAAUUUUGAAUUUUUUUGCUUGCAGAUUCGUUUUUUUUAACACAGAGUAAGAUCUAAUUUUUUUUUCGUUUAUUAGUUUUUCGUUUUUUAAUUUUUAAUUUUUUAAUUUUCUCCAUGUUUAAUUUUUCUUGCUGAAGUAUCGUUUUUGUUCAUUUAAACAAUAGCAACAAAUUUUCGUCUGCAUAUGCUCCAAUGUUUUUGUUCAUUUUGUUCUUUAAAAACCCAAGGCACAAAUUUUAUUUGAGAACGAAUUUAGGUAUUUUUUGAUGAUAUUGCUUCACUUUUCUUUUUUUUUCCUAUACAGACAUCUUUAUUUUUUUUUUCGCAUUAUUAGUUUAUUGUUUUUCAGAUUUUCAUUUUCGUAGAUCUCUGAAUAUCUACACAUGAAACUGUUACUUGUCGUUUUUUAGAUCUCUGUAGAUCUAUUUGCUCUUGCUUUUCGUGUUUCAUAGAAAAUGCAGGAAUUUUGUUUACUUUGCUGUUUCAAAAAAAAAUCAAAGAGGCAGCACAUAUGAAGAACUAAAAAUCAUUACUUGUUGCUAACACAAAUCCAUUUGAAAUAUUUGCUGCCUCUUUGAAAUUAUUUUUGAUCAAGAAUAAGAACAAAAAAAUCAUUCUUUUUUGCUACCUCCGAAAUCUGCCUUUGUUUGACUGAGUAAGUUACUUAAACCUUAUUUAGCAUAUAUCAUGCAAACUCUUCGAAAUUUCAUAUUCAGAUAACCUGUUGUUUCUUUUGCAUGUUUAUUCAUAUUUCAAACGUGUUUUGCACUUUCGUCAUUAUCAUAAACCUGUUUGUUGUAUAUGGGAUUAUAGUAAUGUUUUGCUCUAUUUUUGUUUAGAAGUGCAGAAAAUAGGGGGGGUUUUGCUCUAUUUUUGUUUAGAAGUGCAGAAAAUAGGGGGGGAAAAAUCUAAAGAUGUAAAACUGAAAUAAACACAUAAAAUAGGAAGAAAAGAUAGUUGAAGAUAUAAAAAAAAUAAAGAAAGAAAGAAUCUAAAGUUGUAGUUAAUCAGAAAUAAACACAUAAAAUAGGAUGGAAAAUUAAACUGAAGAUAUAAGAAAGAAAAGAACGAAUAUGUAGAAUAGAAAGAAACAUAUAAAAUAGAAACAAAAAAGCUAAAAUAUAAAAAAGAAAGAAAAUAAAGAAAAUGAUGUAAGAAGUUGUGAGAAAGAAGCUUAGAGUAGAAAUGAAAAGUUUAGGUAGAAAUAAAAAAAAUAUAAAAAUUGGAAGCAAGAAGCUUAGAGAAAAGAGCAAGAAUAUGCCAAUAUUACAGAUAGAAAAAGAAGCUGCUGCUCAUUAAAAUGUAGAAAAGAAGGUGCAAGAAGCUGACAAAGAAAAAAGAGGAAAGAAAGAGAAGCAAGAACAGAAAGAUAAGAAAGAGAAGCAAAAUAGAAAGAGUGCUGACAUUGAAGCAAGAAAGUGCCGAAAGAAAAAUGGAAAAAGAAAGAGAAGCAAGAAAGCAAAGUGAAGCAAGAUAGUGCCGAAAGAAAAGUGGCCGGUGAGGGAGAAAAGAAGAUGCAGAAGAAAUAUGGCUGGUGAGGGAUAUAUAAAGAAUGUAUCUUGGUGGCUAAGUUUUAUAUUAAUGAGCUCUGCAUUAAUUGUUGUCUUUGAGCCCCACAAUAAUUAUAUGUAUAGUAUUAGAUAUGUCAGCAAUUGUACAAAAAGAUAUGUUGAAUAGUUGUUGAACAGUAAAAAUAUUUAUUGAGUCAUUUAUUGCAA